CCACCACCAUGAUGGUGGGCAAGAGCAGCAAGAUGCUGCAGCACAUUAACUACAGGAUGAGGUGCAUCCUGCAAGAUGGCCGCAUCUUCAUCUGGACCUUCAAGGCCUUUGACAAGCACAUGAAUUUGAUCCUCUGUGACUGUAAUGAGUUCAGGAAGAUCAAGACAAAGAACUCCAAACAAGCAGAAAGGGAAGAGAAGCGAGUCCUUGGUCUGGUAUUGCUUCGAGGGGAGAACCUGAUCUCCAUGACAGUGGAAGGACCUCCUCCCAAAGAUACUGGCAUUGCUCGAUUGCCAUUUGCUGGAGCUACUGGGGGGCCAAGCAUUGGCAGGGCUGCUGACAGAUGAUUCCCGGAUGGUGUUCCCAGGCCCCAGGCUCCUGCAGGACUUGCUGGGCCAGUCCAAGGUGUUGGAGGGCCAUCCCAACAGGUGAUGACCCCACAAGGAAGAGGCACUGUUGUAGCUGCUGAAGCUGCAGCUACAGUCAGUAUUGCAGGAGCCCCAAUUCAGUACCCAUAGGGUCAUGGGGACCCUCCUCCACCUAUGGAACGAGGGGCCCCUCCUCCAGGUAUGAUGGGCCUACUUCCUGGCAUGAGGUCUUCCAUGGGUCCCCCAGUGGAGAUUCCACCUGGCAGAGGAACUCCAAUGAACAUGCCCCCUCCUGAGAUGCGACCUCCUCCUCCAUGCAUGCAAGGUCUGCUUUCAUCUUGGCACAGCAUUAUGUCAGUAGCUCCGAGGAGGAGACACGGACCCUUUCCCCCAGAAUCAGGUUACCACAGACCUGUUUGUUUGUUAUGCUGUUCAUAGAGUCUCGCUGGAUUGUCUGGUUUCCCUUUCAGGGCUCCCUCCCUGA